UACGAAGGGUGCAAGCGUUACUCGGAAUUACUGGGCGUAAAGCGUGCGUAGGCGGUUUGUUAAGUCCGUUGUGAAAGCCCUGGGCUCAACCUGGGAAUUGCAGUGGAUACUGGCGAGCUAGAGUGCGGUAGAGGAUGGUGGAAUUCCCGGUGUAGCGGUUAAAUGCGUAGAGAUCGGGAGGAACACCCGUGGCGAAGGCGGCCAUCUGGACCAGCACUGACGCUGAGGCACGAAAGCGUGGGGAGCAAACAGG
rnacentral:rRNA from 1 species